rnacentral:rRNA from 1 species
GCCCUUUCGGGGGUGCUCGAGUGGCGAACGGGUGAGUAACACGUGGGUGAUCUGCCCUGCACUUUGGGAUAAGCCUGGGAAACUGGGUCUAAUACCGAAUACACCUUCCUGGUUGCAUGGCUGGGUUGGGAAAGCUUUUGCGGUGUGGGAUGGGCCCGCGGCCUAUCAGCUUGUUGGUGGGGUGAUGGCCUACCAAGGCGACGACGGGUAGCCGGCCUGAGAGGGUGUCCGGCCACACUGGGACUGAGAUACGGCCCAGACUCCUACGGGAGGCAGCAGUGGGGAAUAUUGCACAAUGGGCGCAAGCCUGAUGCAGCGACGCCGCGUGGGGGAUGACGGCCUUCGGGUUGUAAACCUCUUUCAGUCACGACGAAGCGCAAGUGACGGUAGUGACAGAAGAAGCACCGGCCAACUACGUGCCAGCAGCCGCGGUAAUACGUAGGGUGCGAGCGUUGUCCGGAAUUACUGGGCGUAAAGAGCUCGUAGG